CAGUUAAAAAAAAAAUAUAUAUAUAUAUAUAUAUAUAUAUUCAGGGUUAUUUUACGGUGGAACUGGCUUAUGUUGUCCACAAUUUUGAGCGCUGCAUGGCAGAAUAGAUCAUGACGUGAUUUAGGAUCUUAUUUCCAUUUAAAAUUCUAUUUUUAUUUCUAUCAGCCAAUGAUAAUUCUAAAAGAAAACGUCACGAGCAUGGAUCAGUGGCCGAGAGCGCAUCUGAUUGACAGAUAAACCACGAGCGCUAUCAUGUUCUGGUUAUUUUGUUUCAAUGUACAGUUUGUUCAUUUUGUCCAAAGCAUACAGUCAAAGUAAACUUCAUCGUUCAGCUGAACUGUGCACAUUUUAGCCACUUCAUGUCUUGUUCAGUUUAUGCGAUAAAUGCAUGUCCCUGCUGAGCAGUGAGCUAUGACUAAUUUCACGGGCAAAGGAGACAAAAUUACAAUUUAAGAAUCAAUCAUAGCUAUAGAAAUUUAUUGUCAUUUUUUUUUUUUUUUUUUACAAAUAAAGCUUCAUAUGAAAGUAAUAUUUAUAUACAAAUAAAUAUUAUGAGAAGGAUACUUUCUACGACCUUUAUAUCCUGCAGUCAUGGCGAGAUUAGGUUCCUUCGAUCAAAAAAAAAAACAAGAAUCGAAAAAGAAUAGAAAACAACAGAGGAAUCGAUUCUCGGAAUCGACUCCCAUCGAUUCCAGAACCAGGAAUCGAAUCGGAAUCGAUUCCAAAAAUUUCGGAAUCUUACAGCCCUACCCGCCGCUGAAGCGUUUGAAUGAGCGCGCGAGUCCAUUUAAACACGUCACAGUCUUGCAGCAUUCACAAACCUCUUAAAAUCUUUCUUUAAAUCGCGAAUUUGAAACUCAUUUUGUAGUUCUACGACCAAUACAUUGGUGCAAAAUGUAUGAUAGUGGGAUAAAUAAAAAAUAAAAAAAUAAAUUAUAUUUUAAGAUUUGUAUCACUCAGCCUUUUUAUUUUAUUUUAAAACAUGAUUUUUAUUCUAAACUUUGCUUUUGCUAAAUAAGCAUAAUACAUUUUUUGAGACAUGCAAAACAGCGUUAAAAUAGGAGUAAAAAGUAUAAAAGGACUAAUCUGCUGGUGUUUUUUAAAUUAAACACUAUUUAUAACUAAAAAUUAAUACUUCAUUGAGCUUUAAUUGAACACAACUAAAAGAAAAUGAGUCUGGAAUGAGUUCUGGACCAGGCAGCUAGGAACAUUUAGCUCACUUGAUCUCACUUUCCAGAAAAAAAAUAUUUACAAAAAUGUUGAUUGUGAAGAACCAUUAUAUAUAGUCUAAAGAACCUUUUGUGCAAUGGAUAGGUUAUUUUGGAUAUUAAAGGUUCUUCAUGGAACCAUACACCCUGCCAAAUAACCAUUUUUUAAGAGUGUAUUUUUUGUAAUAACUGACAACACAUUUGCCAAAUUUGAUUGUUUCAUUUUCAGAAAUCAUGAGAUUAAUUAUGAUUAUUUUAUUGAGCCCUAUUUUUUUUUAAGAGUAAGAAAUAACUAAAUAUGUAGUUGAAAAACCAUGGGUUAUUUUGUAAUGGUUCUACUAAAAAUGCUGUGGUAAACCAUAGUUUAACUAUGGUUACUGUGGUAAAACCAUGGUUAAUUUUGUAGUUACUAUGGUUUUACUGCAAAAACCAUAGUUAAACCAUGGUUACUACAAAAAAAACAUGGUUAAUUUUCGUAAGGGCAUUACUUUUACUGUUUUUGAAUGUUUGUCUCGUUUUAAGUUUCUAGAUAUUCUAGUCAGAGGAGAAGUCGACGCUAGUUGCUGAAAGUCAGAGUCAGUCUGCUUUGAGUCGACAGAUGUAAUAUAUGUAUGAUUAGACACAGACUCAGAUUUUUAGCUUCAGACUUUGAUUCUGUCCAGUCCAGGAGAUCAAACAUGUUUCAUAUUUCAGCAGAUUUUAGAACACUGUCAUGUGUCUCCUAGCAACAAGACUCAUGUUUCUGUGGCCACGUACACACUGCAGCUAAAUUCGGUUGUCAGUUCACCUUUUACUCCUUAAUCGCGUUCUGUACACACACAAUUCACUAAAAUACGGGAGUGACAACCGCAUCCUACAACCGCAUUAACUCCUGAAAAAUACAGGUAGUGACAACCGCAUUUACAGAAAUUCUACGCAGUGUGUACGGAACCGAACUGAACAACUAGUUUUUAAUGACGUAUUUGAACGUGCAUCAGAAACGUGUCUUCAUCUGUAUGUGAGAUGCAAGAAAAUAACAGUGAAAGAAGUCUUAGCUUAGCACACAGGGCUAGCUGCGCUCAUGAGCCCUGCGGCAAAGUGUCAGUGUUGCCAGAUCUUCAUAGAAAAAAAAGACAAGGACAAGCACAAAAAACACUAAAACACCCAAAUGCUUUGUUUUAUAACACCAAAAAAAAAAAAUCAUAUAUCUCAUAUCCACAACAGACCACUUCAUUAACUUCAUAAAGUGCCUAUCUUUAUGAGAUAAGAUCAAACAACAUGCACUGGUAAAUAUGAGGACAUGGCAACACUGCAAGACAGCACUCUCUAAAGCAGCCUCCCGAGCAGAAACACAACGCAGCAUGUCUAUCAGCGGUAGUUUAGUUAAAAUCGACGGACAAAAAGAGUCUUUAGUCAAAAAAUGGCACAUAACAAAUGGCUAAACUUUGAUUCACUCCCACAAGACAGAAUGUUGCUAUGGUUACAAAUGUUGUUCCAUACACACAUGGAACGAUAAUUUACAGGACUCACUCCCGCGCAGAGGUGUAAAAAGUACUCAAAAAUGCUUAGCCAUGUUGUCAAACAUACCCACAUAGCAAGCACACUCGGCCGAUUCUGGCUGAAAUGCGGUACUGUCGGCUCAGUCACGACGUCGGUGAGAAGAUAAUGGGCCAGAGCCGCGCCGACUCUACAAAACACUUCUGGCUGACAGACUCUUCUUCUCUGUGGGCCGAUCUCGGCUGAGAGCUGUUUUACGCGCGGCAGGUCCACACUCGGUGUAGUUGUGUGUAUCUACCUUCAGCCCGAGCUGGUUCAGUCUCCGGCGGCCGCUGCUAGAAUGAAAGCCGCCUGAGAGAGAGAUUUGGCGGUUAAUCCUGAGGAGAUCUCGGCGGGCACAGUUCUCAAGAGGAAUACUUCAGCUGCAAAAAGAAAUUCUGAGCUGCUGCAUGAACAUUCAUCAAACAUAUAAGGCUGCAAUUUGGAAAAAACCUUCAAGCUAAUGCUGCUGAAAUGGAGGUCAAGGGGACUGAAGAGGUGGCUCCAGCUGAUCAAAAGGGUGGACUUCAGGAGGCAGACACACUCUGUUACGGUAUCCAGACCAGACGGUGGACCUGCACCAGGAACGACCACAACACAUCCCUGACUGUCAGCGGAGACCAUGUCAGCUAGAUGACAGAUCCCUGUGAAGACCUCACUGAUGGCCCCAGCACAGAUCCUCAGCAAAGACUACGAGAACCAGACAAGCCCUCUGCACAGACCCUUUUUACCAGCUUCACCUGCUGGCGUGAUAUUACUUCAUGCAGAAGAAGUUGGAUGAAAUAUUCUGAAUGAUAUCAAUCCACAAUCUGACUUGUGAUGCAGCCUGGAAUAAUCACGCCACGUUCAUUCGUUUGGCCAGACGAGACUGUUUCCUGACUGAGCCUGGUCUUGUUUGGGUUUGGGUUCCUUGUCACUGUUGCCUUUUGUCUUGCUUGGUUGAAGACACCUAACAUUCAGCAAUAUUAUUGACUUGACUGCACUGACACCAUUUGAUAAGAACUGAACUGAAUUAUGACACACAA